rnacentral:sRNA from 1 species
UUACUAAAGAGUUCACUGCAAGAAGAUGCUGAUACGAUGGUAGAACUG